rnacentral:lncRNA from 1 species
UCUGGAGAUUCCUGCUUCUCUGAGGAUCUUAUAGGCCUUCUACAGAUUUUUCUUUCUGAAAUUCGUGUCACAAAACAAUAACAUACACAAGCCUAACCCCUGCCAAAACAUUUUUGGUCUCGUGUAAAGAUGAUGAAGUGCAUGGAAGAUCUUCUUUAACUUCAACAUCCAAUUAGGGUUGUACUACUGCAUCACAUACAAGAGAAUAUCUGGUAUUGAGGAUGAGGAAGAGUGAGAUAAAUAAACCAAGAUACCGAAGACUUCAAAUUAUUAACUUUGCUUUGGUGGAUUUGGACUAUCCUAGAUGAGAAUAAGUGACUGUCUUGCUGCAGGUCAAAAUUGCCAUAAUGAAACCCUUUUAAACAUAAUACUCUGUCAUAACUUUCUUUUCUAUUCUAUUUGUGUGUUGGACUAAAUAGACUUUUUUUUUUUAUGUUAUUGCUUGGAAGAAUACAGAACUGUUGCCCUCCUCACUGACACCAGUCUUUUGCUAUCAUAGACAGCUAAGGCUUUCUGUUCAGAUCUCUAAAACACUGUUGAGCCUUCUGCAUGUGCUGUUUUUGAGAGGCCACAAUAGGGUUCAGUAUCAUGAGAAAAUACGUUGUUUCUAUUGAUGUGAAUAUUCUACUAUCACAGAUAUGGAUAUCAACUAAUUUGGUUUUCGUUAUGUCAAUGGUCUUGAGGACUUUAUAAAUAAAGAAAUGGCAAACUGUUAUAAUAGUUUAUUCAAACAAAAUACGUCAAUAUUAUUUCCUAGUGAGAAAUGAUUGGGUGACUGGCAUACAUACUAAUUCAUACACUAUUAAAAUAAGAUUUUGCCUAAGUUAAUCUCAAGAUACGGGUCCAAAAAAAUCUUUUUUUUCUUGGAGUAUCUAUCAGUUAUGUGGUUGUUAUAUUUUUGUUGUUGUUGUUUUGGUGCGGUUGUUGUGGUUGUUUUUGGUUGGUUGAUAUUUUAAUAAUUUAUGAUUUUACUUCUGUUUAAAAUAGAAAUUAAGCUUUGAAAGGCUUUGGAUAUAUAUAUAUAUAUUACAUAAUUGCUUUUUCAUUUUUUUUUUUAGUAUAUUGUUUUAUUGUUUAAAAGAAUACAAUGUAACUGAAAAGGCCCAAAAUAACUAAUAAACUUACCCUACUUGUUACUU